rnacentral:rRNA from 1 species
CAGCAGCCGCGGGAAUACGGAGGGUGCAAGCGUUAAUCGGAAUUACUGGGCGUAAAGCGCACGCAGGCGGUCUGACAAGUCAGAUGUGAAAUCCCCGGGCUUAACCUGGGAACUGCAUUUGAAACUGUCAGGCUGGAGUCUUGUAGAGGGGGGUAGAAUUCCAGGUGUAGCGGUGAAAUGCGUAGAGAUCUGGAGGAAUACCGGUGGCGAAGGCGGCCCCCUGGACAAAGACUGACGCUCAGGUGCGAAAGCGUGGGGAGCAAACAGGAUUAGAUACCCCGGUAGUCCCUGUCUCUUAUAA